UGGAAGUUGGAUGCUAGAUGAGUUCACAUGGACCAGCCGUGGCUUCCCGCUCAAGCAUUAUUCCUUUGCAGAGGGGAGACAACACCAAGACUGAGAAGCUGGGAACCACUGACAAGGAGAGGCACCGCCAGUGGUUCGUGAAAAGUUCACUGAAGCAGCCGCCAUUGCGGCGAGAUUCGUUAGCAACGCAAACUUUUCAGCUUGCCAAUCUUCGCACCUGGCACACGCAAGAAAGAAUCCCACAGGAACUUGUACGCCUUCCAGCCCUUGCUAGCCAGUGAAGACGACUUUACCCAGAAGGCAGCAUUUAAUCUACUUCCAAGCGCCCUCUGCUUUUCCAUGGACAUUUCCUCGAAGAUCAUAGAUGACUGCCUUCUCGACCUUCACUAUCAUCCGGUGGAUUAUCUGUGGAUACCUGGGGCCAUGCCAUCCCUACGUCCACAACGAGUAGUCUUCCAGUUCCCGCCUCUUGCUUGUUGUCUUCUCCGGAAUGCGUCAUGCAGCACAGCCCAAUGAUGUGGCCUGGCCGUCUGCCUUCGCUUCGUUAAGGGACUUCCUUCUGUGUUGCUACUCAUCACUGCGCUGUGGCCAAUGGCGGAUGAAAAGUGGGCGACUGACUGUAUCCCACCUUGCUCCCGCGGGACAUGACAGCAAUCUCCUGAUCCACCCCGGGGCCUGUGAAUGUUGUGAAACAUCCUAACGCCGGUGUACGUCAGUGUUAUCGUACGGUGCAUAUCCAAUUAUAAUCUCAAGGCUUGCA